rnacentral:rRNA from 1 species
GUGGGGAAUCUUGCGCAAUGGGCGAAAGCCUGACGCAGCCAUGCCGCGUGAAUGAUGAAGGUCUUAGGAUUGUAAAAUUCUUUCACCGGGGACGAUAAUGACGGUACCCGGAGAAGAAGCCCCGGCUAACUUCGUGCCAGCAGCCGCGGUAAUACGAAGGGGGCUAGCGUUGCUCGGAAUUACUGGGCGUAAAGGGCGCGUAGGCGGACAGUUUAGUCAGAGGUGAAAGCCCAGGGCUCAACCUUGGAAUUGCCUUUGAUACUGGCUGUCUUGAGUACGGGAGAGGUGAGUGGAGCUCCGAGUGUAGAGGUGAAAUUCGUAGAUAUUCGGAAGAACACCAGUGGCGAAGGCGACUCACUGGCCCGUUACUGACGCUGAGGCGCGAAAGCGUGGGGAGCAAACAGGAUUAGAUACCCGUGUAGUCC